rnacentral:rRNA from 1 species
GACAGAGGGGGCAAGCGUUGCUCGGAAUUACUGGGCGUAAAGGGCGCGUAGGCGGGAUGGCAAGUCGGUCGUGAAAUCCCUCGGCUCAACCGAGGAACGUCGAUCGAUACUGCUGUUCUUGAGGAUUGCAGAGGAGACUGGAAUUCCCGGUGUAGCGGUGAAAUGUGUAGAGAUCGGGAGGAACACCGGUGGCGAAGGCGGUUCUCUGGGCCUUACCUGACGCUGAGGAGCGAAAGCGUGGGGAGCAAACAGG